GCUCCGCUCCUCCGAACCGUCUGGCGGACUUGGCACCGGCCCCCGCUCCUCAGUGCCCCCGCAGUGCGUGGCAGGCUGCGGCUUCAUUAUCCUGAUUGAUUCCUCCUGCUCCCCGACACCAUGGGGGCCCCGGACAAGGAAGGGAGGCGGAGGCGGCAUCUGCAGGCCCCUUCCCCGGCCCUCGCCCCCAGCCGCUCCUCAAUACAAACCAUGUGGGACCCUCACUGUGGCGUCUCCAGGCAAAAGAUGAAGCCACAGCCGCCUAGUGGCUGCCAGGGAGGCUGGCAGGAAGGGGCAUCUCUACCCGGCGUCUCCUGGGAAACAGCGAGCUCCCCAGAGAAGGGACAUUUGG
rnacentral:lncRNA from 1 species